UCGGGAGCGCUCGGAGGCGCCGAGCGGCGUUUCGAUUCGGACCCGUCCACGGGCCGAGCCGCCUGGCAGCUGUCUCCGGCGAGUCCGACGCAUUUCCUCCCGCACGGCGGACGCCGCAACCGGUUGGGUAGCUGCAAGAGUCGGCCAGAAGGAUCGGCGACGGCAGGUGGUCCGGGGAAGGCUUCGGCCCCCCCCGGUUGUUAUAGCCGGCCGUUCCGUGGCGCGACACCCGACCGAGGUCGACGCUCCCGGUUUCGGGAGCGCCCCAGCCGUCCCCUCUGUCCGAGCGGGUGGGCCGGCAAGCCGGUUCCCGGGCGGCGAGUCACCCUCCGCGGUGGCCGCCCCCGUGGAGUCCGGCCGCUGGCCGUCCACUUUCCCGCGGGGGCGCUGUUCCUCCUCCGGAGGUUUGCGGCGAGUAGGUCGGUCACCCACCCGACCCGUCUUGAAACACGGACCAAGGAGUCUAACAUGUGCGCGAGUCAUUGGGUCUUGUUCAGGCCCAGAGGCGCAAUGAAAGUGAAGGCGCCGUCUCGCGACGGCCGCCGUGUUGGGACCCUCCGGCCUGCGCGCCGGGGGAGCACCAACGACCCGUCCCGUCCGGCUCGCCGGUGGAGCGGAGUCUGAGCGUACACGUUGGGACCCGAAAGAUGGUGAACUAUGCCUGGGCAGGACGAAGCCAGAGGAAACUCUGGUGGAGGUCCGCAGCGGU
rnacentral:rRNA from 1 species